GAUGAACGCUGGCGGCGUGCCUAAUACAUGCAAGUCGAGCGAACAGACGAGGAGCUUGCUCCUCUGACGUUAGCGGCGGACGGGUGAGUAACACGUGGAUAACCUACCUAUAAGACUGGGAUAACUUCGGGAAACCGGAGCUAAUACCGGAUAAUAUAUUGAACCGCAUGGUUCAAUAGUGAAAGACGGUUUUGCUGUCACUUAUAGAUGGAUCCGCGCCGCAUUAGCUAGUUGGUAAGGUAACGGCUUACCAAGGCAACGCUGCGUAGUCGACCUGAGAGGGUGAUCGGCCACACUGGAACUGAGACACGGUCCAGACUCCUACGGGAGGCAGCAGUAGGGAAUCUUCCGCAAUGGGCGAAAGCCUGACGGAGCAACGCCGCGUGAGUGAUGAAGGUCUUCGGAUCGUAAAACUCUGUUAUUAGGGAAGAACAAAUGUGUAAGUAACUAUGCACGUCUUGACGGUACCUAAUCAGAAAGCCACGGCUAACUACGUG
rnacentral:rRNA from 1 species